UACGGAGGGAGCUAGCGUUGUUCGGAAUUACUGGGCGUAAAGCGCGCGUAGGCGGCUUUGUAAGUUAGAGGUGAAAGCCCGGGGCUCAACUCCGGAACUGCCUUUAAGACUGCAUCGCUUGAAUCCGGGAGAGGUGAGUGGAAUUCCGAGUGUAGAGGUGAAAUUCGUAGAUAUUCGGAAGAACACCAGUGGCGAAGGCGGCUCACUGGACCGGUACUGACGCUGAGGUGCGAAAGCGUGGGGAGCAAACAGG
rnacentral:rRNA from 1 species